rnacentral:rRNA from 1 species
AUGAGUAACAUCAAUUGUGCGAUCAUGUCCUUGAAUGUCCGGGGACUGAACUCAGCGGCAAGGCGGGAAACAGUUAGAGAGGUAGGAGCUGCACAGCGACUCGCCAUCCUCUGCAUCCAGGAAACUAAAAUAGAAACAUGGUCUCAGGCCAUGGUUAGUGACAUUGGCGGUAGUUACUUCAAAGAUUGUGUAGUAUUGCCGGCGAUUGGCUCCAGGGGCAGAGUUGCAAUCUUCUGGAACCGGGACCUUGUGUCCGUCUGCUCCCAGGCAGUUGGUCAAUUCCCGAUCAUAGCCACUGUCACUCUAGUUAGCUCGGCAACUAGUUUUGUCCUCACAUCA